rnacentral:rRNA from 1 species
AUUGAACGCUGGCGGCAUGCCUUACACAUGCAAGUCGAACGGCAGCACGGGAGCUUGCUCCUGGUGGCGAGUGGCGAACGGGUGAGUAAUGCAUCGGAACGUACCCGGAAGUGGGGGAUAACGUAGCGAAAGUUACGCUAAUACCGCAUAUUCUGUGAGCAGGAAAGAGGGGGAGCGCAAGACUCCUCGCUUUCGGAGCGGCCGAUGUCGGAUUAGCUAGUUGGUGGGGUAAAGGCCUACCAAGGCGACGAUCCGUAGCGGGUCUGAGAGGAUGAUCCGCCACACUGGAACUGAGACACGGUCCAGACUCCUACGGGAGGCAGCAGUGGGGAAUUUUGGACAAUGGGCGAAAGCCUGAUCCAGCCAUGCCGCGUGAGUGAAGAAGGCCUUCGGGUUGUAAAGCUCUUUCGGCUGAAAAGAAAUCGCACAGGCUAAUACCCUGUGUGGAUGACGGUAUCAGCAUAAGAAGCACCGGCUAACUACGUGCCAGCCGCCGCGGUAA